rnacentral:rRNA from 1 species
UACGUAGGGACCAAGCGUUGUUCGGAUUUACUGGGCGUAAAGGGCGCGUAGGCGGCGUGACAAGUCACUUGUGAAAUCUCCGGGCUUAACUCGGAACGGCCAAGUGAUACUGUCGUGCUAGAGUGCAGAAGGGGCAAUCGGGAAUUCUUGGUGUAGCGGUGAAAUGCGUAGAUAUCAAGAGGAACACCUGAGGUGAAGACGGGUUGCUGGGCUGACACUGACGCUGGAAGCGCGAAAGCCUAGGGGAGCAAACGGG